rnacentral:lncRNA from 1 species
UCUGGCCUUGCAGCCUGUUUCUUCAUCUGAAAAAAAGAAGGAAAAAUAAUACCAAACUCAGAAAGACUUCAUGAGGAUCGAGUCUGUUUGAAUUGCUUUUCAUUGCACCUUCUAAAUAUGGGGAACUGCGACAUGAAGAAGUUAACUUACCUAAGAUCAGAGAAUGAGUCAAGGACAGAACAGGACCAUGUCAUCAAAUUUAGAGAAACUUGAACUAUAUCACAAAACUGAGGCCAAGAGGGAGGAAGCGAUUUGCCCAAGAUCACACAGGGAAUUGGGAGCAGAAUUAGAUCUUAAAUGCAAGCAUCUCAACUGCUACUUAGUCUUUUCUUUUAUAUAUAUCAAGUUACAUAUUUUUUCUUCCAAAUAUACUUCCUGUAUACUUUGUAAAACGAAGUAAGGAUAAGAGAUGUGCAGUUUUCAUAUUUCAAUGUUAGGGAUUAAAGAUUUCUUCAAGCAUCUGAUUGCUGAUUGGCUAAGAAACACACGCCAGUAUUUGUGGAUAUGUAAGAAUAAAAAAAGAUUUCUUAUGGUAUAUACUUUCAAUGAAUUUGAAGUAAUAAAGAAGCAUUUGUUUCCUAGGUUUGUUUUGUUAUUGUUUUAUCCUAGCCACAAUUAACAUGAUAGUUAAGAGAAUAAACUCUGGAGCCAGACAGAUAAGGAUUAAAUCCUGGCUCCUCCAUUUACUAGCUAUAUGACCUUAUUCACCUUAGUAAAUAUUGCUGAGCUUCACUUUUGUCAUCUUUAAAAUAGAGAUUACUAAGAUACAAAAUUCAUAAGGUUUAUAUGAAAAUAUAAAAUUAAAUGCUAUAUAUAAAUUUCAUAAUAAAG